UGGCCUACGGGGCGCAGCAGUAGGGAAUUUUCGGCAAUGGGGGGAACCCUGACCGAGCAACGCCGCGUGAAGGAAGAAGGAAUUCGUUCUGUAAACUUCUGUUAUAAAGGAAGAAAGGCGGAUGAAGGAAAUGACAUCCGAGUGACGGUACUUUAUGAGAAAGCCACGGCUAACUACGUGCCAGCAGCCGCGGUAAUACGGAGGGUGCAAGCGUUACUCGGAAUCACUGGGCGUA
rnacentral:rRNA from 1 species